AACGAACGCUGGCGGCAUGCCUAACACAUGCAAGUCGAACGAGACCUUCGGGUCUAGUGGCGCACGGGUGCGUCACGCGUGGGAACCUGCCCUUAGGUUCGGAAUAACUCCCCGAAAGGGGUGCUAAUACCGGAUAAUGUCUUCGGACCAAAGAUUUAUCGCCUUUGGAUGGGCCCGCGUUGGAUUAGCUAGUUGGUAGGGUAAAAGCCUACCACGGCGACGAUCCAUAGCUGGUCUGAGAGGAUGAUCAGCCACACUGGGACUGAGACACGGCCCAGACUCCUACGGGAGGCAGCAGUGGGGAAUAUUGGACAAUGGGCGAAGGCCUGAUCCAGCAAUGCCGCGUGAGUGAUGAAGGCCUUAGGGUUGUAAAGCUCUUUUACCCGGGAUGAUAAUGACAGUACCGGGAGAAUAAGCUCCGGCUAACUCCGUG
rnacentral:rRNA from 1 species